CACUCCGGUGCCGCAGGCGGUCCUCCAAGGACCACAACGGUGAAAGAACCUCACCAAUCCCCACCCCUGGCGCCCUCUCACCCGCCCGGGUGAACAUCACCAACUCGGCUGGCGUGGCGCCUGGUUGUCGGCCCUACUCGCCGCGUCGACACCCUGCUCCGGCUGGAGACCGAGGACGACGAGCCGUUACUG
rnacentral:ncRNA from 1 species